CGCUUGCUGCACGUCUAGGAAGGCAGA
rnacentral:sRNA from 1 species